AUUUUAUUAAAAGUAUUUACAAAGCCAUAUCCAGACUCCAGAUCCGGCUGCCAACAAGACCCUGUUACACUAUGGGCACUGGCCGUGGCAUGGCAGGUGCCUUUUUCUUAAUUACACCCAGAGAGCACAGGAAAGUGGAUGCCAGCGAUAUUUAUUUUCUGCUCUGAGCCCGACACAGGCCAGAGCGGCAAGAAGGAUGAAAGGAAGUGGAUGAGGAAGUCCUUGAAGUAAUAAAAUGAAAGCAGCCCUGAUUGGCCUCAUUUAGAGCAGUGCAGAGGAGGAAGAGCAGAGAGUCACAUGAAGCCGGUCUCCAGGGCCAGGCUGCUCCCCCUCCUCUAGCAUUGGCAGGCGACCGUGGGGAGAACUAUUGGAACCCCCUACAACUCCAUCAAUUGGGAAAGGGGCAUGGCACUCGCCCGCCCUCCUUCAGGGCACAGGAAGUCGGGAAGAUAUAGCUGGAGGAAAACAAAGAGAAGGGGAGUCAGUCCGAGAUGCAGAUGGUGAGGCUAUCAGAGAAAUAAUGACUGGUACAAGGAGAGACAGAAGGUGGGGAGCAAGGUGGAGAGGUCCCAAGAAAGGGACAGGGAGCUGACCAUCUCCUCUUCUGCACCCUCCCUCACCUGCUCUGACUACCUCCCCCAGCAGGUCCCCUGCAUGGACACAUCCACACAUAACUCUGCCUUGUGGGUCCUGGCUGACACAGGGACAUCCUGGGCUUCUAACUCUGAGGAAGAAAGGGACCUGUAUGUGGACAGAAAGGACCUUGCCUCUGAUGUGAAAGUCUUGUACUGCCCUCAAAUGUCAAAGAGCCAGGCUGGGAGGGGGGUCCUUGGGAACAGACCACCGCCUCACUCGGAAGCCAGCAGCCAGAACAGACAUCUAGCGAGGACCCAGCCUCCUCCAUGCACCUGGGCGCCCACACUGGCUGGUUCACGGAUGUGUCUCUGGGCUCUGCUGCACCUGUCCCCACAGGACGGCCCUCAAGAUAAGUAAAAAAGCCUCUGCUGACUGUGCAUGCCAGUGUCCAGACUCCAGGGUCUAUUUUUAGAAUGUAGGACAACUUUCUCCCAGAAUAGACAAGACACGCUAAUCCAGGAGGGAGGCCUGGGAGAGAUGAAGACAUCGAGUCUAGAUAUGAAUUAGCCGUGAGUAUAUUAUUUGAAGAAAUGUUGAACAGCUAGGCAAAUAUUUGAUACCUUUGAAUUGGAGCCGGCGUUUUCACAGGCAGAGCGGCAGCGGCUGCUUGAGAAGUCCCCCUCCCUGCUGGCGUACCUGGCUGUCACGCCCGGUUCUAUAGGCCCCUUCUUCCUGCCUCCUGAGAAGUAAUUAAAGCUCUGUGCCUGGCGAAAGGUGCGUGAGACACGCCUCACUCACACCCCAAACCCGAGUCUCGGGGACAGUGCCUCAUGCGUGAAUGAAUCCAAACGGCUCUUUCGCUUUUUAAGGAAAGUUUCUUUUCCUUAAUUACUCCACCACAUUACUAAAGGGAUGAGGCAUCUACUUCAGUGAGGCCUUUGUGGAAGGGGGUCAGAAAUCAUGACCCCUGAUUUGGACCCCCUGGUCUGUGACCCCUGGGAGGGAGUGAAGAAGAGCCACCCAGACGCCCGUAGCUCAGGAAAUAGGCCCUGUCCACAAGGCUGCAGACAGAGCGUCCGGUUUUCCAGCAGCCGCUGGGAGAGUCUUUUCGUUCUAACAGAGAAUUAACCUCUGGGCGCUUAGGAGGCGGAAGGCCCAGCGGACCUUUGACACCAGGUGCACCUGUCUGCAUAGAGGUGGCUCGGCUCCCUCUUUACCCUUGUUACCUUAUACCUGAGUGGGAGGUGGGCAUUGGCACCCCCGGUUUACCGAAAAUCCCUGAUAUGGCCAACGUUGAGCACUGGUGAGAGGGUGAGAGAGUGGGAGACAGAGAGAGAGAGAGAGAGGGAGGGAAGAGGGAGUCUGAGUAGCUGAGAAGCAGUUUAGGAUUUUUUUUUUAAUUUAUGUAAACUCAAGU
rnacentral:lncRNA from 1 species